rnacentral:rRNA from 1 species
GACGAACGCUGGCGGCAUGCUUUACACAUGCAAGUCGAACGGCAGCACAGCAGAGGUAACUCUGUGGGUGGCGAGUGGCGAACGGGUGAGUAAUACAUCGGAACGUACCCUGUUGUGGGGGAUAACUACGCGAAAGCGUAGCUAAUACCGCAUACGCCCUGAGGGGGAAAGCGGGGGACCCUAAAUAGAGCGCACUGGGGAGUGCGUUGUAUUUAGGGCCUCGCGCAAUAGGAGCGGCCGAUGUCGGAUUAGCUAGUUGGUGAGGUAAAGGCUUACCAAGGCGACGAUCCGUAGCUGGUCUGAGAGGAUGAUCAGCCACACUGGGACUGAGACACGGCCCAGACUCCUACGGGAGGCAGCAGUGGGGAAUUUUGGACAAUGGGGGCAACCCUGAUCCAGCCAUGCCGCGUGAGUGAAGAAGG